rnacentral:rRNA from 1 species
CAUGAACGCCUGGGCGGCAAGCUACACAUGCAAGUCGAGCGGUAGAGAGAAGCUUGCUUCUCUUGAGAGCGGCGGACGGGUGAGUAAUGCCUAGGAAUCUGCCUGGUAGUGGGGGAUAACGUUCGGAAACGAACGCUAAUACCGCAUACGUCCUACGGGAGAAAGCAGGGGACCUUCGGGCCUUGCGCUAUCAGAUGAGCCUAGGUCGGAUUAGCUAGUUGGUGAGGUAAUGGCUCACCAAGGCGACGAUCCGUAACUGGUCUGAGAGGAUGAUCAGUCACACUGGAACUGAGACACGGUCCAGACUCCUACGGGAGGCAGCAGUGGGGAAUAUUGGACAAUGGGCGAAAGCCUGAUCCAGCCAUGCCGCGUGUGUGAAGAAGGUCUUCGGAUUGUAAAGCACUUUAAGUUGGGAGGAAGGGCAUUAACCUAAUACGUUAGUGUUUUGACGUUACCGACAGAAUAAGCACCGGCUAACUCUGUGCCAGCAGCCGCGGUAAUACAGAGGGUGCAAGCGUUAAUCGGAAUUACUGGGCGUAAAGCGCGCGUAGGUGGUUUGUUAAGUUGGAUGUGAAAUCCCCGGGCUCAACCUGGGAACUGCAUUCAAAACUGACUGACUAGAGUAUGGUAGAGGGUGGUGGGAUUUCCUGUGUAGCGGUGAAAUGCGUAAAUAUAGGAAGGAACACCAGUGGCGAAGGCGACCACCUGGACUAAUACUGACACUGAGGUGCGAAAGCGUGGGGAGCAAACAGGAUUAGAUACCCUGGUAGUCCACGCCCGUAAACGAUGUCAACUAGCCGUUGGAAGCCUUGAGCUUUUAGUGGCGCAGCUAACGCAUUAAUUUGACCGCCUGGGGAGUACGGCGCGCAAGGUUAAACUCAAAUGAAUUGACGGAU